UACGAAGGGGGCUAGCGUUGCUCGGAAUUACUGGGCGUAAAGGGCGCGUAGGCGGAUACUUAAGUCGGGGGUGAAAGCCCGGGGCUCAACCUCGGAAUUGCCUUCGAUACUGGGUAUCUUGAGUUCGGGAGAGGUGAGUGGAAUGCCGAGUGUAGAGGUGAAAUUCGUAGAUAUUCGCAAGAACACCAGUGGCGAAGGCGGCUCACUGGCCCGGUACUGACGCUCAGGCGCGAUAGCGUGGGGAUCAAACAGG
rnacentral:rRNA from 1 species